CCUACGGGAGGCAGCAGUGGGGAAUAUUGGGCAAUGGAGGCAACUCUGACCCAGCAACGCCGCGUGAAUGAUGAAGGUCUUCGGAUUGUAAAGUUCUGUGAUGGGGGAUGAACACAAUGACGGUACCCCAAUAGCAAGCCACGGCGAACUACGUGCCAGCAGCAGCGGUAAUACGAAGGGGGCAAGCGUUGUUCGGAAUUACUGGGCGUAAAGGGUGUGUAGGCGGGAAAGUAAGAUAGGCGUGAAAUGCCUGAGCUCAACUUGGGAACUGCCAUUAUAACUAUUUUUCUAGAGUGACAGAGAGGAUAUUGGAAUACCCAGUGUAGAGGUGAAAUUCGUAGAUAUUGGGUAGAACACCGGAGGCGAAGGCGAGUAUCUGGCUGUCAACUGACGCUGAGGCACGAAAGCAUGGGGAUCAAACAGGAUUAGAUACCCUUGUAGUC
rnacentral:rRNA from 1 species